GUGGUUUGGGGUUUGGAAUAUAUUAUAAAUAAGGUUUGAGGUGAAAGAAUAGAUUGAGGUUCAAGGGUAGAUGAGUUUGGGGUUUGGAAUAUAUGAAGUAGAAGAUAAGGAAGAUGGGGUUCGGGGUUUCGGAUUUUAGGGAUUUAAACGUAAUACUCGUUAAUUCCUAGUAAGCCAAAAUCGUCGUAAGGUUGUCGUAAGGCCACGAGGAGUUUACGACGAAAUUAAAAAAAAUAAAGAAAGUGGAGCACGCUAAUUCCACGCAAGCCAAAAUCGUCGUAAGGUUGUCGUAAGGCCACGAGGAGUUUACGACGAAAUUAAAAAAAAAAUAAAGAAAGCGGGGCACGCUAAUUCCACGUAAGACUCUCUGAGUGAAUGAAAAUAAGGAAUUGUGGUUUGGAAUGAAAAUAAAGAUAGGGUUUGGAAUAUAUGAAGUAGAAGAUAAGGAAUAUGGGGUUUGGGGUUUCGGAUUUUAGAGAUUUAAACGGAAUACUCGUUAAUUCCUCGUAUGUUAACGUCGAACUUACGACGAAUUCCUCGUAAAUACCACGUAGGACAGAUUCGUCGUAAAUACCACGUAGGAGAGAUUCGUCGUAAAUACCACGUAAAGUAAAUGAUGAACGCGGCCCACUUUAAUUCCACGUAGGACGGAAUCGUCGUAAACACCUUGUAACCAAAAUCGUCGUAAACACCUCGUACCGUAAAAACUAGAAAAAAAAAAGAAAAAGAAGAAAUAUACUGGAUUUACAUGUGGCAAAACUUCCAGCAAUUAUAUUACUUAAGUCUCACCAACAUAAAUUCCAAUAUCUUCUUCUCUUCCUUUUUUCUCAAAUUUUUAUAAUUUGAAUAGAAU
rnacentral:lncRNA from 1 species